UAUGUCCAUUUUCUUUGAACACAAAAUAUUAACAUGCCCUGGGUGCAAGAUGAUAUACAUGAGAAGUUGCAUUUAGCAGUUUCAGGUUGCACCAGUACAAGUUUUAAAUGCUUAAAUCGAGC